GACGAACGCUGGCGGCGUGCUUAACACAUGCAAGUCGAACGGAAAGGCCCUGCUUUUGUGGGGUGCUCGAGAGGCGAACGGGUGAGUAACACGUGAGUAACCUGCCCUUGACUUUGGGAUAACUUCAGGAAACUGGGGCUAAUACCGGAUAGGAGCUCCUGCUGCAUGGUGGGGGUUGGAAAGUUUCGGCGGUUGGGGAUGGACUCGCGGCUUAUCAGCUUGUUGGUGGGGUAGUGGCUUACCAAGGCUUUGACGGGUAGCCGGCCUGAGAGGGUAACCGGCCACAUUGGGACUGAGAUACGGCCCAGACUCCUACGGGAGGCAGCAGUGGGGAAUAUUGCACAAUGGGCGGAAGCCUGAUGCAGCAACGCCGCGUGCGGGAUGACGGCCUUCGGGUUGUAAACCGCUUUCGCCUGUGACGAAGCGUGAGUGACGGUAAUGGGUAAAGAAGCACCGGCUAACUACGUG
rnacentral:rRNA from 1 species